UAUACCGUGAAACUGCGAAUGGCUCAUUAAAUCAGUUAUCGUUUAUUUGAUAGUACCUUACUACUUGGAUAACCGUGGUAAUUCUAGAGCUAAUACAUGCUAAAAACCUCAACUUCGGGAGAGGUGUAUUUAUUAGAUAAAAAACCAACGCCCUUCGGGGCUUCUUGGUGAUUCAUGAUAACUUUACGGAUCGCAUGGCCUUGCGCCGGCGACGGUUCAUUCAAAUUUCUGCCCUAUCAACUUUCGAUGGUAAGGUAUUGGCUUACCAUGGUUUCAACGGGUAACGGGGAAUUAGGGUUCGAUUCCGGAGAGGGAGCCUGAGAAACGGCUACCACAUCCAAGGAAGGCAGCAGGCGCGCAAAUUACCCAAUCCCGACACGGGGAGGUAGUGACAAUAAAUACUGAUACAGGGCUCUUUUGGGUCUUGUAAUUGGAAUGAGUACAAUUUAAACCUCUUAACGAGGAACAAUUGGAGGGCAAGUCUGGUGCCAGCAGCCGCGGUAAUUCCAGCUCCAAUAGCGUAUAUUAAAGUUGUUGCAGUUAAAAAGCUCGUAGUUGAAACUUGGGUCUGGCUGGCAGGUCCGCCUCACCGCGUGUACUUGUCCGGCCGGGCCUUCCUUCUGGAGAACCUCAUGCCCUUCACUGGGCGUGUUGGGGACCAGGACUUUUACUUUGAAAAAAUUAGAGUGUUCAAAGCAGGCCUUUGCUCGAAUACGUUAGCAUGGAAUAAUAGAAUAGGACGUGCGGUCCUAUUUUGUUGGUUUCUAGGACCGCCGUAAUGAUUAAUAGGGACAGUCGGGGGCAUCAGUAUUCAAUUGUCAGAGGUGAAAUUCUUGGAUUUAUUGAAGACUAACUACUGCGAAAGCAUUUGCCAAGGAUGUUUUCAUUAAUCAGUGAACGAAAGUUAGGGGAUCGAAGACGAUCAGAUACCGUCGUAGUCUUAACCGUAAACUAUGCCGACUAGGGAUCGGGCGAUGUUCUUUUUCUGACUCGCUCGGCACCUUACGAGAAAUCAAAGUU
rnacentral:rRNA from 1 species